AGGAGGCUGCUCCAGAAGAAGAAGAAGCUGUGGAGGAGGAGGCUGCUCCAGAAGAAGAAGAAGAAGCUGUGGAGGAACCUGUAAAAGAAGCAGAACAGCCAGAGGCUGCUCCAGAACCAGUGCAGGAUCAAACAGUCCCAGUCACAGAGACAGAAGAAGUAGCACAAGAGGUAGAAGAGACAGUGGAAGAAGCAGCAGAAUUUGUUGAGUCACAGGAACCAAGUCAGGAUGAGCCCACAGAAACGUAGAGGCUGCUGCAGUCGUCGUGGUGACGGAGAAGGAGCCCACUGACGUUGUUGCAUCAGCACCACCUGAGUGCACUCAGGACAAUGAUGCGUUUUUCCACCUCCAGAGAAAUUAUUGAGUCGUCAUGACCCCCCCAUCCCCCCUCCCCCCACGACUCCCCCCCUCUGUCACACCUGUACUUUGCUUUUUCAAAUUUUCUUUUCUCUUUUUUUUUUUUUUCUUUUUUAAAUAAAGUGUCACAGGCCUCGUUCAGUCCUGGCUCUAACAUCCAUCACUGAGAUCCGACCACAAGUGGACAACGUUAAGUACGAACGUUCACACUAAGUUGUGUCCUGGGAACAUCUGCUGUGAUAGAUGUUCUUGGUCUGGCCACACGCCACCUCAUAAUGUCUUUGUGUUUUUGUCACAGUCGACCUGUGAUGUGAUGACUCGGGAUAAAUGUUGACACCAGAUCUGAACGAGGUCUUCGUUUGAGUAAAUGAAACUGUUUAUACACCUUUUUUUUUUUUUUUUAAAGACCACUUUUUCUUUUCUUCUCCAGUAGAGCACCCAAGGUUGUUAAGUUGUGUGUGUGUGUGUGUGUGUGUGUGUGUGUGGUUGUGUGUUAUGGUUAGAUGUCCAGGCCACAGGAAGUAGGGCUGUCACUUUUAUUUCUGAUAUUUUUUAGAACUUCAGGGUAGAAAGUUGAAACUUGAACCUUUUAAAACCUGUUUUUGUUCAGAAUAUACAGCCUAGAAAACCCAUCACUCCAUCUGAAGUAAUUACGGCGUGGGCCAGCAGAGGGCAGAGUGAGUGCAGUAAGUUUGAAUUCAUCAGAAAAGCAGUGGAAAUGUUGCGUGUGGAAAUACUUUGUUGGGAACAAAUUUGCCCACUCACCUGUUAGCUUAGCUGUCGGAAGCGGCUUAGGGAUGAGUCGUGAUCAACCUCGCGUGACUUAAGGUGCGUUCCAUUUACAUUUUUUUUGGACUCAACUGGAGCGCGGACAUACUGUAUCUCAGGCCUAGCUAUUGUUAGCUCUAAGCGGUACUUAGUAGUAGUUCACUUGCUCGGACUUUUCAAGUUGGAAAUCCGAUCUGAGGGGGCGCGUUCCAGUUCAAACUUCGACUAGGAACUCUGAAAUUCGGGGUUAGGUACCAAAACAUGUCCUGUAAUAUUCACACUCAACUAACAAAAAAAAGUGACGGCCCUAACCAGGGUCUUAUCAGUGUUAGCUGCGACAGUGAAGUCGCGUGUUCCUGUGCGCUGAAGUGACACUUGUUUGAUUUCGAGUCACGUUAAAUUCAGUCGCCAAGUUAAAUACGAGCCGCGACUCACUCACAAAACUUUGUCUCCUCUCUGUUCUUUUGGAAAAAUCCAGCGCCACCCUGUGGCCACUGAUCACUACACACCCUGACGCUGUGGUGUUUUUGUUUACGUCGGAAACUGGGACUUCACCGAGAUCCGGAUGAGUAUUUUGGGUGGUAAAAAAAUGGACACAAAUGUAUCUCGGGGCUAGCCAUUGUUAGCGAUACCAGUGGAUAUCGACCGUCUACGUGAUAUUUUUACAUACUCAAACAUGUUUACGUUUGAAAAUGAAACCGUGCUACUACGUGUUUGUAUGGUUCUUAGGCUUCAGUCUAAACAAAGCCUUGGAGACGUCCCCAUAUCGGGAUUGUUGAGGUUGCUCCUGAUCUCGGAAAUACCGAGUUCCUUCUGUAAAUGGAACGCAUCAUUGGGGUUAGGAUUAAGUGGGUGUGGUUAGUGGUGGGUGUGUUUUGAGUGGCCAUAGGCCGCACCUGGACACUACCUGGACUUAGUGUCCAUUUUGUUGUAGAUUCUAUGCAAAGCUACUUGUCUCCUCCCUCUUCCUCAUCCCCCCUCUUCAUCACCCAGUCAGUUUAUUUACCACUCAGUGUCGACUCCAGGAUGAGCCAUGAGCAUCUUAAACUUGGUGUGUGUGUGUUUGUGUUGACAAAUCAUUUCUGUGAAAAGUUAAAUAUCAGGAUGUUGAACUCUUUGUUUUUUUUGUUAGUGUGUGUGUUAUUUUAAUGUUUCAUAUUUCAGACAUAACACCAGGAGCAUCCAACCAGAUGAUCAAAUGAGUUAAAAGUGAAGAAGUCGGGCGGGAGUUUGGACAGUGUAGUGUUGUCAGUGCACACUGUGAUGUCAGGUUUCUUUGUUUUUAAAUUCACCAGCAGCACAUGGAGACAGACAUCAGACAGGAUAGAUGAAGCUUUUUUUUUUACCUCUAUGUGACUCAGAUCCCUUCAUGUUUUAAUGGAACCUUCAGUGUGAAAUGUGUGUUCUGCUCCCACUGGUUCACUUUGGAAGCCCACUCGCGUGGUUUUAUGUCGUUAAAUGUCUGUACGAGUAUUUUAAACGGUUGACGUUUGGUAGAAAAACGUGUGACGUAUGAUUCCAACUAGUGCUGCAACUAUUGAUUAUUUUGUAAUGGGUUUGAGUGUUGUUGAAGUUUUGAAGUUUUCAGUUUCUUAAAUGUGAAUAUUUUCUGGUUUCUUUGUGCCAUAGAAUAACCGACAUAUUGUUGGUUUGUGGACAACAAGACUGGUUUGGUAAACACUGAUUAACAUUUUUUGACAUUUAACGGACCAAACAAGCACUCAAUGACAAUAUCAUACGAUGCAGCCCUGAUCGAUGAAUUCAAUUCAUAAAAUGUUCAUCUGUGUUUGGCAAACCUCAAAAUGAUCGCAAAUUAUUCCGUUUUCAUUAUUUUCAUUGUCACGUGGAGUAAAAGAAAGAAUGAAAUUCAUAUUUAAGAAGCUGAAUAUAAUAACAAAAACAAAACACUCCUAUCAAUUAUCAAGAUUAAUUUAGUAAGUGAUUAAUGGUUGCAGCCGAACAUGUGGACCAAGUGAAUAUUUUGGUAAAUAUAGGAAUGCGAGUGUGUAAAGAAACUGACAGUUGUAGGAAUAAUCACAACACUUUUUGGUCUUAGUUUGGUCAUCACGCAUUACGUGUGUUAACACUAGCUGGUCUUUUCUACUCCCUAACACUUUAUAAAGUCAAUGUGAAACGUUUUGUAACAUUAAAAAGAUUGCGCUUUUAGAUUUUUUUAAAAAAGGAAACAUUUUUAAUAAGAACUUUAGGGAAAAAUAUAACGUAAUUGUUUUUGUGAUUAACAAAGCCAUAAGAGAGGAAACGUGACAGCAGUGUGUUUUUUCUUUACUAAUCUGAGAUCAGGAGUCAUGUUCACGCAGACACUGCAGAGCCGACAUGAGCUCAAAGAUGCCGAGGAGGAGAAUUGUGUUGUCCGUCGAGUUAAAGGUGUGCAGAUGUGACGCGGUCCUGCACGUGAUGUUCAUGCUGAUUAAAUUAUUGUGACUUUCUGAUGACGGUUGUUUUUAAAGCAAAAAAGAAAAAGGAAGCUUCAGAAGUGUCACAUCUUUCUGUAAAUGAUCUGUUUUGGGAGCUGAAAUAAAAAGGUUUAAGAAACAACA